rnacentral:rRNA from 1 species
GACGAACGCUGGCGGCAGGCUUAACACAUGCAAGUCGAGCGAAGACUUCGGUCUUAGCGGCGGACGGGUGAGUAACGCGUGGGAACAUACCCUUUGCUACGGAACAGUCCCGGGAAACUGGGUUUAAUACCGUAUACGCCCUUCGGGGGAAAGAUUUAUCGGCAAAGGAUUGGCCCGCGUUGGAUUAGGUAGUUGGUGGGGUAAAGGCCUACCAAGCCGACGAUCCAUAGCUGGUUUGAGAGGAUGAUCAGCCACACUGGGACUGAGACACGGCCCAGACUCCUACGGGAGGCAGCAGUGGGGAAUCUUAGACAAUGGGGGCAACCCUGAUCUAGCCAUGCCGCGUGAGUGAUGAAGGCCCUAGGGUUGUAAAGCUCUUUCAGCUGGGAAGAUAAUGACGGUACCAGCAGAAGAAGCGCCGAUGAUGGUGGUGACGGUAGGUACAGAAGAAGCACCGGCCAACUACGUGCCAGCAGCCGCAGUAACAC